rnacentral:rRNA from 1 species
AACGAACGCUGGCGGCAGGCCUAACACAUGCAAGUCGAACGAGAUCUUCGGAUCUAGCGGCGGACGGGUUAGUAACGCGUGGGAACGUACCUUUCGGUAAGGAAUAGCCUCUGGAAACGGAGAGUAAUACCUUAUACGCCCUUUGGGGAAAGAUUUAUCGCCGAGGGAUCGGCCCGCGUUAGAUUAGAUAGUUGGUGGGGUAACGGCCUACCAAGUCUACGAUCUAUAGCUGGCUUUAGAGGAUGAUCAGCAACACUGGGACUGAGACACGGCCCAGACUCCUACGGGAGGCAGCAGUGGGGAAUCUUGGACAAUGGGCGCAAGCCUGAUCCAGCCAUGCCGCGUGAGUGACGAAGGCCCUAGGGUCGUAAAGCACUUUCGCCAGGGAUGAUAAUGACAGUACCUGGUAAAGAAACCCCGGCUAACUCCGUGCCAGCAGCCGCGGUAAU